rnacentral:sRNA from 1 species
GCUUAGCCCUGAUUGAAGUGACAUCCUUUUUGUUUUUUCUACAAAAAGAUAUAACGGAAAGCAGGAAAUAGC